GGCCAUGAUUGUUUUCACUCCAAAGUGCCCUUCGGAGGGCAAUAUAUCCCAUUUGGAAUGCACCGUGAGACUGCAGUUUCAUCCAGAG